rnacentral:rRNA from 1 species
CGCGUAGGCGGUUUAUUCAAGUCGCAUGUGAAAUACCAGGGCUCAACCCUGGGAGGUCAUGCGAAACUGAUGGACUUGAGUGCAGUAGAGGAAAGCGGAAUUCCUGGUGUAGCGGUAAAAUGCGUAGAGAUCAGGAGGAACACCGGUGGCGAAGGCGGCUUUCUGGGCUGUAACUGACGCUGAGGCGCGAAAGCGGUGGGAGCAAACAGGAUUAGAUACCCUGGUAGUCCACGCUGUAAACGAUGAAUACUAGGUGUAGGGGACGCAGGUCUUCUGUGCCGGAGCUAACGCAAUAAGUAUUCCGCCUGGGGAGUACGGCCGCAAGGUUGAA